AAAACUGAAUGAAUGGUUAACUUUCGGGCAUCAAUAGCGAUGGAGUCCAAAUUUCCUAAACCUAAGUCAGAGUUUCGUCCUUAGUUUUCCGGCCUAAAGUUCACUAGAAGAGAAGACGAAUAAAUAGUUGCCGAUUUUCUAGUCCGACUGUCUCCGUUUAAGAUGGAUUACGAGAACAAAUUCGUCCUAGCUCCCAUGGUUCGCGUUGGAACGUUACCGUUUAGAUUAUUAGCUUCACAAUACGGUGCAGACAUCACCUAUGGCGAGGAAAUUAUUGACCAUAAGAUGAUCAAAUGCGAGCGUAGAUUAAAUGAGCAUGUAGGUUCAACUGAUUUUGUUGAGAAGGGGACAAACAAUGUAGUUUUCAGGACCUGCAGCCUUGAAAGAAAACAUGUAGUUUUUCAAAUGGGUACUUCUAAUGCUGCGAGGGCCCUAAGUGCUGCUCAACUAGUGUGUCAAGACGUUGCUGCCAUAGAUAUCAACAUGGGUUGCCCUAAGUCAUUUUCCAUCAGUGGGGGCAUGGGUGCGGCACUAUUGAAUAAACCAGACCUUAUUCAUGAUAUUUUGACAACAUUGAGGAGAAACUUGAACAUUCUAAUUACCUGUAAGAUUCGACUGUUAAAUUCACCUCAGGAUACAGUGGAGUUAGCUAGACGAAUAGAGAGUACUGGUGUUUCAGCUCUUGGUGUUCAUGGCAGAAGAGUUGCAGAUAGACCAAGAGAUCCAGCUAAAUGGAGUGAGAUUGCAGAUGUUGUAGCAGCAUUGACUAUUCCUGUUAUUGCAAAUGGUGACAUCUUUGAGUAUGAUGAUUUUCAACGGAUCAAAGUUCAUACAGGUGCUUCUUCAAUGAUGGUUGCUCGAGGAGCCCUUUGGAAUGCUUCAAUCUUCUCUCCAGAAGGCAAAUUACCAUGGGAAGAUGUGAAAAGAGAAUAUGUUAGGAAGGUGAGAGCAUCUUGUGGGAUAAUGAUAUCAAAAGUACGAAGUACACGCUAAAAGAAAUGAUAAUGCAUCAUUCUUGUCUUGAACUGCCAGAAGGAAAGGCCGUGAUAAAAUCUGAAUCCCUUGCAGAUCUAGCGAAACUUUAUGGUGAGGAAAAAUACUAUCAAUUCGUUCAAGAGAAUCGGUCUUUCAAUGAAAGUAGAUGAUGGCGUUUCACAGAGAUGCUUGUUGCCAUACUUUCAACAGAGAAACCUAACAGACUAGGAGAACCUUGCAGCUACAAUGUCGUUUUAUUCUCAGUAAAACCCAUUUAAUUGAUUAUACAGAUGCAUCAGGUAUAUUACCGAAUCAUUCUUUGGCAUAGUAUGGAGAAGUUGAAUGCUUAAGGCAGCAUUAUAUGUUUUAAUAUAUUUUUUCGCCUUUCACCCCUAUUUUGUUGAAAACUCCGAGUUAUUUACCUGUCACAGUUAAUGCAAGUGAUUAUAUUUAUAUCCAAUAAAAACUUUAAAAACAUAAUGCCACAGUUAUUUAGAAUA